GUCGAGAAUCUUUCACAAUGGGGGCAACCCUGAUGGAGCGACGCCGCGUGGAGGAUAAGGUCUUCGGAUUGUAAACUCCUGUCAUGCGUGAACAAGGUUGCUUGGUUAAUACCUGGGCAAAUUGAUGGUAACGCAAGAGGAAGAGACGGCUAACUCUGUGCCAGCAGCCGCGGUAAUACAGAGGUCUCAAGCGUUGUUCGGAAUCACUGGGCGUAAAGGGUGCGUAGGUGGCGUGGUAAGUCAGAUGUGAAAGCCCGGGGCUCAACCUCGGAACUGCAUACGAUACUGCCAUGCUAGAGUACUGGAGAGGUGACUAGAAUUCUCGGUGUAGCAGUGAAAUGCGUAGAUAUCGAGAGGAAUACCAAAGGCGUAGGCAGGUCACUGGACAGUUACUGACACUGAGGCACGAAGGCCAGGGGAGCGAACGGGAUUAGAAACCCGGGUAGUCC
rnacentral:rRNA from 1 species